rnacentral:rRNA from 1 species
GCUAAUACCGGAUACGCUCCUCUGGUCGCAUGACUGGGGGAGGAAAGGGGAAACCCGCUAAUGGAUGGGUCCGCGUCCCAUUAGCUAGAUGGUGGGGUAAUGGCCUACCAUGGCGACGAUGGGUAGCCGGCCUGAGAGGGUGACCGGCCACACUGGGACUGAGACACGGCCCAGACUCCUACGGGAGGCAGCAGUGGGGAAUCUUCCGCAAUGGGCGAAAGCCUGACGGAGCGACGCCGCGUGAGCGAGGAAGGCCUUCGGGUCGUAAAGCUCUGUUCUGGG